GACGAACGCUGGCGGCGUGCUUAACACAUGCAAGUCGAACGGUAAGGCCCUUCGGGGUACACGAGUGGCGAACGGGUGAGUAACACGUGGGUGAUGUGCCCUGCACUUCGGGAUAAGCCUGGGAAACUGGGUCUAAUACCGGAUAGGACCACUGCCUGCAUGGGGGGUGGUGGAAAGCUUUUGCGGUGUGGGAUGGGCCCGCGGCCGAUCAGCUUGUUGGUGGGGUGAUGGCCUACCAAGGCGACGACGGGUAGCCGGCCGGAGAGGGUGACCGGCCACACUGGGACUGAGAUACGGACCAGACUCCUACGGGAGGCAGCAGUGGGGAAUAUUGCACAAUGGGCGCAAGCCUGAUGCAGCGACGCCGCGUGAGGGAUGACGGCCUUCGGGUUGUAAACCUCUUUCAGCACCGACGAAGCGCAAGUGACGGUAGGUGCAGAAGAAGGACCGGCCAACUACGUGCCAGCCGCCGCCGUAA
rnacentral:rRNA from 1 species